AGUGAACGCUGGCGGUAGGCCUAACACAUGCAAGUCGAACGGCAGCACAGUAAGAGCUUGCUCUUACGGGUGGCGAGUGGCGGACGGGUGAGGAAUACAUCGGAAUCUACUUUUUCGUGGGGGAUAACGUAGGGAAACUUACGCUAAUACCGCAUACGACCUACGGGUGAAAGCAGGGGAUCUUCGGACCUUGCGCGAUUGAAUGAGCCGAUGUCGGAUUAGCUAGUUGGCAGGGUAAAGGCCCACCAAGGCGACGAUCCGUAGCUGGCCUGAGAGGAUGAUCGGCCACACUGGAACUGAGACACGGUCCAGACUCCUACGGGAGGCAGCAGUGGGGAAUAUUGGGCAAUGGGCGAAAGCCUGAUCCAGCCAUACCGCGUGGGUGAAGAAGGCCUUCGGGUUGUAAAGCCCUUUUGUUGGGAAAGAAAAGCAGCAGGUUAAUACCCCGAUGUUCUGACGGUACCCAAAGAAUAAGCACCGGCUAACUUCGUG
rnacentral:rRNA from 1 species